CCUACGGGAGGCAGCAGUGAGGAAUAUUGGUCAAUGGGCGCGAGCCUGAACCAGCCAAGUAGCGUGAAGGAUGAAUGCCCUACGGGUUGUAAACUUCUUUUAUAAAGGAAUAAAGUGAGGCACGUGUGCCUUUGUGUAUGGACUUUACGAAUAGGGAUCGGCUAAAGCCGUGCCAGCAGCCGCGGUAAUACAGAGGAUCCGAGCGUUAUCCGGAUUGAUUGGGUUUAAAGGGAGCGUAGAUGGGUUGUUAAGUCAGUUGUGAAAGUUUGCGGCUCAACCGUAAAAUUGCAAUUGAUACUGGCAGCCUUGAGUACCGUUGAGGUAGGCGGAAUUCGUGGUGUAGCGGUGAAAUGCUUAGAUAUCACGAAGAACUCCGAUUGCGAAGGCAGCUUACUAAACUGCCACUGACAUUGAUGCUCGAAAGUGUGGGUAUCAAACAGGAUUAGAUACCCGUGUAGUC
rnacentral:rRNA from 1 species